rnacentral:rRNA from 1 species
ACUCCUACGGAAGGCAGCAGUGGGGAAUUUUGGACAAUGGGCGAAAGCCUGAUCCAGCCAUUCCGCGUGCAGGAUGAAGGCCCUCGGGUUGUAAACUGCUUUUGUACAGAACGAAAAAGCUCUGGUUAAUACCUGGAGUCCAUGACGGUACUGUAAGAAUAAGCACCGGCUAACUACGUGCCAGCAGCCGCGGUAAU